rnacentral:rRNA from 1 species
GCGGUAUGCUUAACACAUGCAAGUCGAACGGAAACGAAACUAGCUUGCUAGUAGGCGUCGAGUGGCGGACGGGUGAGUAACGCGUAGGAAUCUGCCUGAUAGUGGGGGAUAGCCCGGAGAAAUUCGGAUUAAUACCGCAUAAUCUAUUCGUAGUAAAGUGGGGGACUUUCGAGCCUCACGCUAUCAGAUGAGCCUGCGUAAGAUUAGCUUGUUGGUAGGGUAAAAGCCUACCAAGGCAACGAUCUUUAGCUGGUCUGAGAGGAUGAUCAGCCACAUCGGGACUGAGACACGGCCCGAACUCCUACGGGAGGCAGCAGUGGGGAAUAUUGGACAAUGGGGGCAACCCUGAUCCAGCAAUACCGCGUGUGUGAAGAAGGCCUGAGGGUUGUAAAGCACUUUCAAUUGUGAAGAAAAGUUAACGGUUAACAACCGUUGACCUUGACGUUAACUUUAGAAGAAGCACCGGCUAACUCCGUGCCAGCAGCCGCGGUAAUACGGAGGGUGCAAGCGUUAAUCGGAAUUACUGGGCGUAAAGCGUGCGUAGGCGGUUUAUUAAGUCAGAUGUGAAAGCCCCGGGCUUAACCUGGGAACUGCAUUUGAAACUGGUCAACUAGAGUAUGGUAGAGGAAAGUGGAAUUUCUGGUGUAGCGGUGAAAUGCGUAGAUAUCAGAAGGAACAUCAAUGGCGAAGGCAGCUUUCUGGACCAAUACUGACGCUGAGGUACGAAAGCGUGGGUAGCAAACAGGAUUAGAUACCCUGGUAGUCCACGCCGUAAACGAUGAUAACUAGCCGUUGGGGGGAUUUACCCCUUAGUGGCGAAGCUAACGCGUUAAGUUAUCCGCC